UCCUAGAUGGCUGGGUGGGUAAAGAAUCUGCCUGUAAUGCAGAAGAUGAAGGUUUGAUUCUUGCAUCAGGAA
rnacentral:tRNA from 1 species